rnacentral:rRNA from 1 species
GAUGAACGCUGGCGGCAGGCCUAACACAUGCAAGUCGAACGGUAGCACAGAGAGCUUGCUCUCGGGUGACGAGUGGCGGACGGGUGAGUAACGUCUGGGAAACUGCCCGAUGGAGGGGGAUAACUACUGGAAACGGUAGCUAAUACCGCAUAACGUCGCAAGACCAAAGUGGGGGACCUUCGGGCCUCACACCAUCGGAUGUGCCCAGAUGGGAUUAGCUAGUAGGUGGGGUAAUGGCUCACCUAGGCGACGAUCCCUAGCUGGUCUGAGAGGCUGACCAGCACCGCUGGAACUGGGACACGGUCCAGACUCCUACGGGAGGCAGCAGUGGGGAAUAUUGCACAAUGGGCGCAAGCCUGAUGCAGCCAUGCCGCGUGUAUGAAGAAGGCCUUCGGGUUGUAAAGUACUUUCAGCGGGGAGGAAGGCGGUGAAGUUAAUAACUUCACCGAUUGACGUUACCCGCAGAAGAAGCACCGGCUAACUCCGUGCCAGCCGCCGCGGUAA